rnacentral:rRNA from 1 species
GCCUAACACAUUGCAAGUCCGAACGGCAGCGCGAGAGAGCUUGCUCUCUUGGCGGCGAGUGGCGGACGGGUGAGGAAUACGUCGNAAUCUGCCUAUUUGUGGGGGAUAACGUAGGGAAACUUACGCUAAUACCGCAUACGUCCUACGGGAGAAAGCAGGGGACCUUUGGGCCUUGCGCAAUAUAUGAGCCCACGUCGGAUUAGCUAGUUGGGGGGGUAAUGGCCCACCAAGGCGACAAUCCGUAACUUGGUCUUAGAGGAUGAUCACCACACUUGGGAACUUGAGACACCGGCCAGACUUCUACCGGAGGGAGCAGUGGGGGAAUAUUUUCGCAUGGGCUCAAGCCUGAUCCAGCCUGCCGCGUGGGUGAAGAAGGCCUUCGGGUUGUAAAGCCCUUUUGUUGGGAAAGAAAAGCAUGCGGUUAAUACCCGUGUGUCAUGACGGUACCCAAAGAAUAAGCACCGGCUAACUUCGUGCCAGCAGCCGCGGUAAUWYGAAGGGUGCAAGCGUUACUCGGAAUUACUYGGGGCGUAAAGCGUGCCGUAGGUGGUUUGUUAAGUCAGAUGUGAAAGCCCUGGGCUCAACCUGGGAACUGCAUUUGAUACUGGGCAAGCUAGAGUGCGGUAGAAGGAUAGCCGGAAUUCCUUGGUGUAGCAGUGAAAUGCGUAGAGAUCAGGAGGAACAUCCGUGGCGAAGGCGGCUAUCUGGGCCAGCACUUGACACUUGAGGCACCGAAAGCCGUGGGGAGCAAACAGGAUUAGAUACCCUGGUAGUCCACGCCCUAAACGAUGCGAACUGGAUGUUGGGCUCAACUUGGAGUUCAGUAUCGAAGCUAACGCGUUAAGUUCGCCGCCUGGGGAGUACCGGUCGCAAAGACUGAAACUCAAAGGAAUUGCGGGGGC